GAUGAACGCUGGCGGCGUGCCUAAUACAUGCAAGUCGAGCGAACAGAUAAGGAGCUUGCUCCUUUGACGUUAGCGGCGGACGGGUGAGUUACACGUGGAUAACCUACCUAUAAGACUGGGAUAACUUCGGGAAACCGGAGCUAAUACCGGAUAACAUAUUGAACCGCAUGGUUCAAUAGUGAAAGGCGGCUUUGCUGUCACUUAUAGAUGGAUCCGCGCCGUAUUAGCUAGUUGGUAUGGUAACGGCUUACCAAGGCAACGAUACGUAGCCGACCUGAGAGGGUGACAGGCCACACUGGAACUGAGACACGGUCCACACCCCUACGGGCGGCAGCAGUAGGGACUCUUCCGAAAUGGGCGAAAGCCUGACGGAGCAACGCCGCGUGAGCGAUGAAGUUCUUCUGAUCGUAAAACUCUGUUAUCAGGGAAGAACACAUGUGUAAGUAACUGUGCACAGCUUGACGGUACCUGAUCAGAAAGCCACGGCUAACUACGUG
rnacentral:rRNA from 1 species